CUGCCGAAUCAACUAGCCCCGAAAAUGGAUGGUGCUGAAGCACACAACCUAUAAUCAACCGUCGGAGGAAUUUCUAGGCUGCGAUGAGUAGGAGGAAAUGGGGGUCAUUGAGAAACCUUAGGCAUGAGCGUAGGUGGCAUGGUCCCUGGUGUAGAUCUUAGUGGUAGUAGCAAAUAUUCAAAUGAAAAAUUUGAUGAAUGAAGUGGGGAAAGGUUCCAUGUGAACAACACUUGGACAUGGGUUAGUCGAUCCUAAGGGAUGGAGAAGCCCUGUAUCAAGGGUUCACUUUGCAUGAACAUCGAAAGGGAAUCGGGUUAAUAUUCCCAAACCGGGACAUGGUAGCGGACGACAACAUUAGGAAAUCCAGAGAUGUCGUCAGGGGCUGUAGGAAGAGUUAUCUUUUCUUUUUAACAUCUUUCCCACCCUGAAAUUGGCUCAACCGAAGAUAGGGUCUAGUAGUUGGAAGAGAAUCACACAUCUUGCGGUGUCUAGUGCACCCUCGGUGGCCCUUGAAAAUCUGGAGAACCGAGUACCGUCCAUGCCCGAUCGUACUCAUAAUCGCAUCAGGUCUCCAAGGUGAACAACCUUUGGUCAAUAUAACAUUGUAGGUAAGGUAAGUCGACAAAACAUAUUCAUAACUUUAGGAAAAGGAUUAGCUCUGAGGGCUAGGCCUAGGGGCCUACGUUCUCAACCUGUGGGCUAUUGGAAGUCUGCCUGAGCUACUAUCAUGGUGAGAGUGGGCAGUCACGUGCCGAUUGGGCUACAUACGUAGAAUUUCACCUUGCAGGGGAUUUUCCCUAGGCGGUGAAUAGUCGAAUCAGAAUUGGUAUGGACAAGGAGAAUACGACUGUUUAAUUAAAACAAAGCAUUUAGAUGGUCCCUACGGAUGCUAACACAAUGUGAUUUUUUCCCAGUUCUCUGAAUGUCAAAGUGAAGAAAUUCAACCAAGUGCAGGUAAAUGACGGGAGUAACUAUGACUCU
rnacentral:ncRNA from 1 species